GACGAACGCUGGCGGCGUGCUUAACACAUGCAAGUCGAACGGUGAUGCUCCAGCUUGCUGGAGUGGAUCAGUGGCGAACGGGUGAGUAACACGUGAGCAACCUGCCCCAGACUCUGGAAUAAGCGCUGGAAACGGCGUCUAAUACUGGAUACGAAACUGGCCCGCAUGGGCAUGGUUUGGAAAGUUUUUCGGUUUGGGAUGGGCUCGCGGCCUAUCAGCUUGUUGGUGAGGUAAUGGCUCACCAAGGCGACGACGGGUAGCCGGCCUGAGAGGGCGACCGGCCACACUGGGACUGAGGCACGGCCCAGACUCCUACGGGAGGCAGCAGUGGGGAAUAUUGCACAGUGGGCGCAAGCCUGAUGCAGCGGCGCCGCGUGAGGGAUGACGGCCUUCGGGUUGUAAACCUCUUUCAGCAGGGAAGAAGCGGAAGUGACGGUACCUGCAGAAGAAGCACCGGCUAACUACGUG
rnacentral:rRNA from 1 species